CUGUAGAUAGGCGAUUCUUCUUGAUCUCACUCUCUCUCUCUCUCUCUCUCUCUCUCUCUCUCUCUCUCUCUCUCUCUCUCGCUCUGAGUUCGUUGGAGGAAGAUAAGGAAACAGAAGAUGAAGGUGAUGGGGAGAGGGUUACUCUUGUGCGCGUAAAGAGGAAAGAGAUUAAGGAAGAAAUAAUAAAUAAAAAAGAAGAAGGAGGAAGUUGGUAUCUAGGAAACCAC
rnacentral:lncRNA from 1 species